GCAGGCUAACAUCUGUAACAGAGAUUGAAAAUAAUUUAGGUUGCAACAUGUACAUAGCUUACACACCGGAGAUCGUGUGUACUUGCCUAUGUCAGUAAGGCUGGUGUGUGACAAAAGCAAAUGUAUGUAAAGACUCAGCCAGUGAAUUAAAGGAGGAAACUUUGCAUUUGAGAUUUCCUUCAUGGCUUCUGGUUAGAGACUUUGCUCCAGAAAAGGGACCAGUUCUCCAACUCUCAAACUCAUUUUAUUUCAUCACUUUCACCAACUCAUCAGUAAGUAGUACACAUAUAAACAAGAGGCCAAUAGGGAAACAUUCUAUUCUGGCUUUGAGCCAGGACACAAGUAAGACAGACUGA
rnacentral:lncRNA from 1 species